AAACAAGUAAUGUAUGCAUAUUACUAAUCUAAGUUACUUUUCAUACCGCCUUAGAACAAAUAGUCUCUAGCAGCACCCCAACAUGAUAUACGAAUGACAAAAAACACCAUGAGAACAUAACUAAAACACAAGACAACAUAGAUAAAACCAAAAUUAAAGAACCAACCCCAAUAAUUUGCAACCAACCCCAAUAAUUUGCUAGAGAAAAGACACCCCC
rnacentral:lncRNA from 1 species